rnacentral:misc_RNA from 1 species
GAGAGAGAGAGAGAGAGAGAAUUCCCUUCAAGAAUUCAACAAUCUUGCUUUGCUUUUAUGCCCUUUUUCUUGCUUGUGCUAGUCCCCUUUCGUCCUUCUUACACCUUGAUGAAUUUUCAUUACUUGAACUCUCUGUACUUGCUGUUCUAGCCUUCCAGGACAGAAAUAAUAUACAAUUUAUUAUAUCUUGUUCAUAUGCAUCUAAUCAUCAUUAAGAAGACACCCUUCAAGCCAUCCAUCCCAAAUACAAUCCUAAGGUAUCGCUUGUUUCUUCUCUUUUUUGUAUGAUUUCUUUCUUUUUUCAUUCAAAUGCUUAUCAAAAUUCUAGAAUUUCAAUACAGCAUCAAAGGUUUUUUAGUUUUAUUGUUUGAAGGCCUAGUGCAGAAGAUUAAGCAUGAUUUUUCUUGCUAAAUUAUUUGGUUCACUGAAAAUUUUUUAGCAGAAUUGAAGGAAAGAACUUUCAUUUGCGACAUAGAUUUGAAAAUUUUCAAUAAGGCUUGUUAUGGCACUGCUAGACAAACCAAAAACUUGGAUUCCAUAUAUGAACAGUAAAGACUGUUCUCAAGGAUUUUGUAGCAUGAACUGCCCACAAUGGUGCUACGUCAUCUUCCCUCCUCCACCUCCUCUUGAUGAUGAGUUCCCUGAUGACAACAAUUCAAGCCCAAUCUUCUCUCCUCUUGUCAUUGCAAUUAUUGUGGCUAGUGCUUUUCUACUAGUAAGUUACUAUAUCAUAAUUUCUAAAUAUUGUGGAAACAAUAAUGAUUCAGCAAGAAGAAUAGAAAACCAAGACCUUGUUGAUCAGGAAAUGGAGGAUAAUCACAACCCAUCUCUCCAUGAGCCUUGGCAUGUUUCCACAACUGGUUUAGAUGAAGUUAUAAUAAAGUCAAUCACAAUCGUUAAGUAUAAAAAGGGAGAUGGUUUGAUUGAAGGGACAGAUUGUUCUGUUUGCCUCAGUGAAUUUCAAGAAGAUGAGAGCUUAAGGCUUUUGCCUAAGUGCAGUCAUGCUUUCCAUGUCUAUUGUAUUGAUACGUGGCUUAAAUCUCACUCAAAUUGCCCCUUGUGCCGUGCUAAUAUUGUCUUCAUUAGUGCUGCUGCUUUGCCUCCAUUGCCUCCUCCAGUAAUGGAAAGUCUUCAAGCCAACGAAUCAUCUCAAGAUAGCCACAGAACUAAUGGAAAUGCAGCUGUUACACAGGACAUUGAAAGGGUUGUUUCAGAAGAGGAAAUAGAGCAGAAUAAUGGAGGAGAUUCAAAGACACCGUUACGUGUGUUCAGUGAUUUGGGGAACUUGCAGGAGAGAGCUGCCAUAAUUCAGAUUAGAGAUGAAAGGUAUCCACCCGUUAGGAGAUCAUUUUCAAUGGAUCAUCCAUGUCAAAACCGUUGUUUAGCUGCUGAUAUUCUGCAGAUGAACCAAGAUGAAGUUAUUCUAGUGGAAGAUUGCUUAUCAGGAGAUGCUGCUGAAUCAUCCAAACGUUCAGCCCAAGUCACCAAGCAUAGCCAUAGAAGAAGAGUCUUGCAUUAUGUACUGAGUCCUGCUAGAAUGAAGAGAUCAUUUUCUAGCGGAAGAUUCUUCCUCAAUAGGCAUGGAAACGCUGUCUAGAAAAAAAUUGAAACACUUAAAAAAGGUUUAUAUAUAUUGAUGAAGAAAUUUAUGAAAGAUUUAAGCUUGCAGAUGUUAACUUUUGCAUUGGUUUGUUUAUGUUCUUAUGCAGUAGUGGUAUGUGUGGAUCAGAACUAAUGAAGGACAUCUAUGUUUUUAUGUGGCUAGAAACAUGACUAUCAUGGGAAAUUCUUAACUUACUGGAAACUUGUUCGGUUUGGCAUGAUUUCGGUUAUUGAAACAA